rnacentral:rRNA from 1 species
AUUGAACGCUGGCGGCAUGCUUUACACAUGCAAGUCGGACGGCAGCACAAAGAAGCUUGCUUCUUGGGUGGCGAGUGGCGAACGGGUGAGUAACAUAUCGGAACGUACCGAGUAAUGAGGGAUAACUAAUCGAAAGAUUAGCUAAUACCGCAUAUUCUCUGAGGAGGAAAGCAGGGGACCUUCGGGCCUUGCGUUAUUCGAGCGGCCGAUAUCUGAUUAGCUAGUUGGUGGGGUAAAGGCCUACCAAGGCGACGAUCAGUAGCCGGCUUGAGAGAGUGUACGGCCACAUUGGGACUGAGACACGGCCCAGACUCCUACGGGAGGCAGCAGUGGGGAAUUUUGCACAAUGGGGGAAACCCUGAUGCAGCGACGCCGCGUGAUUUAGAAGGCCUUCGGGUUGUAAAAAUCUUUUGUAUGGGAAGAAAAUGACAGUACCAUACGAAUAAGGACCGGCUAAUUACGUGCCAGCAGCCGCGGUAAUACGUAAGGUCCGAGCGUUGUCCGGAAUCAUUGGGCGUAAAGGGUACGUAGGCGGAUAAGCAAGUUAGAAGUUAAAUCCUAUAGCUCAACUAUAGCAAGCUUUUAAAACUGCUCAUCUUGAGGUAUGGAAGGGAAAGUGGAAUUCCUAGUGUAGCGGUGAAAUGCGCAGAUAUUAGGAGGAAUACCGGUGGCGAAGGCGACUUUCUGGCCAUAAACUGACGCUGAGGUCCGAAAGCGUGGGUAGCAAACAGGAUUAGAUACCCUGGUAGUCCACGCCGUAAACGAUGAGUGUUAGGUGUCUGGAAUAAUCUGGGUGCCGCAGCUAACGCAUUAAACACUCCGCCUGGGGAGUACGCACGCAAGUGUGAAACUCAAAGGAAUUGACGGGGACCCGCACAAGCAGCGGAGCAUGUGGUUUAAUUCGACGCAACGCGAAGAGCCUUACCAAGUCUUGACAUAAUACGGAAGUUUUUAGAGAUAAGAACCUGCUUCUUCGGAAGACUGUAUUACAGGUGGUGCAUGGUUGUCGUCAGCUCGUGUCGUGAGAUGUUGGGUUAAGUCCCAUAACGAGCGCAACCCCUAUUGUUAGUUACCAUCAUUAAGUUGGGGACUCUAGCAAUACUGCCGGUGAUAAACCGGAGGAAGGUGGGGAUGACGUCAAAUCAUCAUGCCCUUUAUGACUUGGGCUACACACGUGCUACAAUGGCAGGUACACAGGGAAGCGAAACUGCGAAGUUAAGCAAAACUCAAAAAGCCUGUCUCAGUUCGGAUUGCACUCUGCAACUCGAGUGCAUGAAGUUGGAGUUGCUAGUAAUCGUGGAUCAGAAUGCCGCGGUGAAUGCGUUCCCGGGUCU